rnacentral:lncRNA from 1 species
UUUGGGUCACCUGCAGUUAGAUUAUGAUGUUCCAUUUUACAAUAAUUUCUGAGCCAUCUGUGUGGGUGUGUGGAAAUGUGGAAGGAAAGAAGGAACGAAGGAAGAAAAAAAGGGAAGGGGUAUGUGAAGAAGGAAAUAAUGAAGGAGGAAGAAACAACAACAAAUAGAAAAAUAUUGCCAGACUCUGUCUUCUAAAGUGAAAACUUCAUAAGCUAUGAAACCAAUUUGGACUCAUAUUCAUGGGCAAAGAUGGACACAGACUAUUGAAGGUGUUCUUAGGGAACAUAUUCUGAGAGUGGCCUUCUGGAGACAAUUACUAUCAUUAUUUUUAGACCAGAUAGAAGAUGAAAGUGAUUUUACUGAUGUCAACACCAUGAUCAUGAUGAAGACAAUGCCACUAGAAGGCCAACAUUCUUAACUGGUAAAAUCAUAACAGUUAACAUUAUAUAGCACUUCAAGGUUUACAUGAAAGAAAAAAAGAAUGUUGCAUAAAUUUUUGGAGAUUUAGUUACUCCACU